rnacentral:rRNA from 1 species
GUUAUAUGGUCAAGUGAAGAAGCGCAUACGGUGGAUGCCUUGGCAGUCAGAGGCGAUGAAAGACGUGGUAGCCUGCGAAAAGCUUCGGGGAGUCGGCAAACAGACUGUGAUCCGGAGAUGUCUGAAUGGGGGAACCCAGCCAUCACAAGAUGGUUAUCUUGUACUGAAUACAUAGGUGCAAGAGGCGAACCAGGGGAACUGAAACAUCUAAGUACCCUGAGGAAAAGAAAUCAACCGAGAUUCCCUUAGUAGUGGCGAGCGAACGGGGACCAGCCCUUAAGUUGUAUUGAGAUUAGCGGAACGUUCUGGAAAGGACGGCCAUAGUGGGUGAUAGCCCUGUACGCGAAAAUCCCUUUGCAAUGAAAUCGAGUAGGACGGGGCACGAGAAACCUUGUCUGAAUAUGGGGGGACCAUCCUCCAAGGCUAAAUACUACUGACUGACCGAUAGUGAACCAGUACCGUGAGGGAAAGGCGAAAAGAACCGCGGAGAGCGGAGUGAAAUAGAUCCUGAAACCGUAUGCGUACAAGCAGUGGGAGCCCACUUUGUUGGGUGACUGCGUACCUUUUGUAUAAUGGGUCAGCGACUUAUUUUCAGUGGCGAGCUUAACCGAAUAGGGGAGGCGUAGCGAAAGCGAGUCUUAAUAGGGCGUCUAGUCGCUGGGAAUAGACCCGAAACCGGGCGAUCUAUCCAUGGGCAGGUUGAAGGUUGGGUAACACUAACUGGAGGACCGAACCGACUACCGUUGAAAAGUUAGCGGAUGACCUGUGGAUCGGAGUGAAAGGCUAAUCAAGCUCGGAGAUAGCUGGUUCUCCUCGAAAGCUAUUUAGGUAGCGCCUCAUGUAUCACUGUAGGGGGUAGAGCACUGUUUCGGCUAGGGGGUCAUCCCGACUUACCAAACCGAUGCAAACUCCGAAUACCUACAAGUGCCGAGCAUGGGAGACACACGGCGGGUGCUAACGUCCGUCGUGAAAAGGGAAACAACCCAGACCGUCAGCUAAGGUCCCAAAGUCAUGGUUAAGUGGGAAACGAUGUGGGAAGGCUUAGACAGCUAGGAGGUUGGCUUAGAAGCAGCCACCCUUUAAAGAAAGCGUAAUAGCUCACUAGUCGAGUCGGCCUGCGCGGAAGAUGUAACGGGGCUCAAACCAUGCACCGAAGCUACGGGUAUCAUCUUUUGAUGAUGCGGUAGAGGAGCGUUCUGUAAGCCUGUGAAGGUGAGUUGAGAAGCUUGCUGGAGGUAUCAGAAGUGCGAAUGCUGACAUGAGUAACGAUAAUGGGUGUGAAAAACACCCACGCCGAAAGACCAAGGUUUCCUGCGCAACGUUAAUCGACGCAGGGUUAGUCGGUCCCUAAGGCGAGGCUGAAAAGCGUAGUCGAUGGAAAACAGGUUAAUAUUCCUGUACUUCUGGUUAUUGCGAUGGAGGGACGGAGAAGGCUAGGCCAGCCUGGCGUUGGUUGUCCAGGUUUAAGGUGGUAGGCUGAGAUCUUAGGUAAAUCCGGGAUCUUAAGGCCGAGAGCUGAUGACGAGUGUUCUUUUAGAACACGAAGUGGUUGAUGCCAUGCUUCCAAGAAAAGCUUCUAAGCUUCAGGUAACCAGGAACCGUACCCCAAACCGACACAGGUGGUUGGGUAGAGAAUACCAAGGCGCUUGAGAGAACUCGGGUGAAGGAACUAGGCAAAAUGGCACCGUAACUUCGGGAGAAGGUGCGCCGGUGGAGGUGAAGCAUUUACUGCGUAAGCCCCUGCCGGUCGAAGAUACCAGGCCGCUGCGACUGUUUAUUAAAAACACAGCACUCUGCAAACACGAAAGUGGACGUAUAGGGUGUGACGCCUGCCCGGUGCCGGAAGGUUAAUUGAUGGGGUUAGCGCAAGCGAAGCUCUUGAUCGAAGCCCCGGUAAACGGCGGCCGUAACUAUAACGGUCCUAAGGUAGCGAAAUUCCUUGUCGGGUAAGUUCCGACCUGCACGAAUGGCGUAACGAUGGCGGCGCUGUCUCCACCCGAGACUCAGUGAAAUUGAAAUCGCUGUGAAGAUGCAGUGUAUCCGCGGCUAGACGGAAAGACCCCGUGAACCUUUACUAUAGCUUUGCACUGGACUUUGAAUUUGCUUGUGUAGGAUAGGUGGGAGGCUUUGAAGCGUGGACGCCAGUCUGCGUGGAGCCAACCUUGAAAUACCACCCUGGCAACUUUGAGGUUCUAACUCAGGUCCGUUAUCCGGAUCGAGGACAGUGUAUGGUGGGUAGUUUGACUGGGGCGGUCUCCUCCUAAAGAGUAACGGAGGAGUACGAAGGUGCGCUCAGACCGGUCGGAAAUCGGUCGUAGAGUAUAAAGGCAAAAGCGCGCUUGACUGCGAGACAGACACGUCGAGCAGGUACGAAAGUAGGUCUUAGUGAUCCGGUGGUUCUGUAUGGAAGGGCCAUCGCUCAACGGAUAAAAGGUACUCCGGGGAUAACAGGCUGAUACCGCCCAAGAGUUCAUAUCGACGGCGGUGUUUGGCACCUCGAUGUCGGCUCAUCACAUCCUGGGGCUGAAGCCGGUCCCAAGGGUAUGGCUGUUCGCCAUUUAAAGUGGUACGCGAGCUGGGUUUAGAACGUCGUGAGACAGUUCGGUCCCUAUCUGCCGUGGACGUUUGAGAUUUGAGAGGGGCUGCUCCUAGUACGAGAGGACCGGAGUGGACGAACCUCUGGUGUUCCGGUUGUCACGCCAGUGGCAUUGCCGGGUAGCUAUGUUCGGAAAAGAUAACCGCUGAAAGCAUCUAAGCGGGAAACUUGCCUCAAGAUGAGAUCUCACUGGAACCUUGAGUUCCCUGAAGGGCCGUCGAAGACUACGACGUUGAUAGGUUGGGUGUGUAAGCGCUGUGAGGCGUUGAGCUAACCAAUACUAAUUGCCCGUGAGGCUUGACCAUAUAACACCCAAGCAAUU